rnacentral:rRNA from 1 species
CCUACGGGUGGCAGCAGUGGGGAAUAUUGCACAAUGGGCGCAAGCCUGAUGCAGUGACGCCGCGUGCGGGAUGAAGGCCUUCGGGUUGUAAACCGCUUUCAGCAGGGGCGAACACAGGACGGUACCUGCAGAAGAAGCGCCGGCUAACUACGUGCCAGCAGCCGCGGUAAUACGUAGGGCGCGAGCGUUGUCCGGAAUUAUUGGGCGUAAAGAGCUCGUAGGCGGCCUGUUGCGUCCGCUGUGAAAUCCCAGGGCUCAACCCUGGGCGUGCAGUGGAUACGGGCAGGCUGGAGGCAGGCAGGGGAGAACGGAAUUCCCGGUGUAGCGGUGAAAUGCGCAGAUAUCGGGAGGAACACCGGUUGCGAAGGCGGUUCUCUGGGCCUGUACUGACGCUGAGGAGCGAAAGCGUGGGGAGCGAACAGGAUUAGAUACCCCUGUAG